UGGCAAGUGUUUUAAGUGGACUAAGUCUGCAGUGUGAAAAUUUUUUGCCGAACAUGCAAAAAGAAAACUGCUGCAAAAGGGAGUAACGCUUCAAAUCCACCAGAGACUACUUUGUAGCAAAUCUAAGUGUCUUUUGUCCUGUCUCCCUCCCCUCACUCAGCUGGUUGCAGCAGAUGGCCGCCCCUCCCUAAGCCUGAUUCCUUCUGGAGGUUUCUUCCUAUUAAAAAGUGGCUCUGCCUGAUGCUCUAUCAUGACUGAUGGCGAAGGGAGAGCGCGCUUUCAGUACGCAGAGUGCCAGGAGCUGGAGGAGGUGCGGGAGGAGGUAAGGCUUGCUGUACCGACAUCCUACAGGAAUGACGCCCAAGGUCAUGAAGAUGACCCAGGAGGAAGACGCCCGGAUGAUGAGGAGGAAGAGGAGGAGGUGGAGAGGACGAGAAGGAGCAGCAGGAGGAGGAGGAGGAGGACGAGCAGCAGCAGUAGCGUUCAAGGAGAUGGAGGAAAUGAAUGGAGUCCUGAAGUUCAGGGGGAUGAAGAACAGGAACCGGAGCUGGAAGUGGAAGUUGGACCAACACUGGGAGUUCGCAUCACGGCUCCCAUCCGUGAUCCAGACUGCGUCUCCGAGGAUGAGGAACAGCAGCCGUAUCCGGCCCUGGCCCCCAUGGCCUUCUUCUGCUUAAAGCAAACAACGAGGCCUCGCAACUGGUGUCUCCGCAUGGUCUGUAACCCAUAUC
ensembl:lncRNA